rnacentral:rRNA from 1 species
UACGGGAGGCAGCAGUGGGGAAUAUUGCACAAUGGGCGCAAGCCUGAUGCAGCCAUGCCGCGUGUAUGAAGAAGGCCUUCGGGUUGUAAAGUACUUUCAGUCGUGAGGAAGGUGUUAAGGUUAAUAACCUUAGCAAUUGACGUUAGCGACAGAAGAAGCACCGGCUAACUCCGUGCCAGCAGCCGCGGUAAUACGGAGGGUGCGAGCGUUAAUCGGAAUUACUGGGCGUAAAGGGCACGCAGGCGGUUAAUUAAGUUGGAUGUGAAAUCCCCGGGCUUAACCUGGGAAUGGCAUUCAAGACUGGUUAGCUAGAGUCUUGUAGAGGGGGUAGAAUUCCAUGUGUAGCGGUGAAAUGCGUAGAGAUGUGGAGGAAUACCGGUGGCGAAGGCGGUCCCCUGGACAAAGGCUGACGCUCAUGUGCGAAAGCGUGGGGAGCAAAC